rnacentral:rRNA from 1 species
AUUGAACGCUGGCGGCAGGCCUAACACAUGCAAGUCGAGCGGAUGAAGGGAGCUUGCUCCUGGAUUCAGCGGCGGACGGGUGAGUAAUGCCUAGGAAUCUGCCUGGUAGUGGGGGAUAACGUCCGGAAACGGGCGCUAAUACCGCAUACGUCCUGAGGGAGAAAGUGGGGGAUCUUCGGACCUCACGCUAUCAGAUGAGCCUAGGUCGGAUUAGCUAGUUGGUGGGGUAAAGGCCUACCAAGGCGACGAUCCGUAACUGGUCUGAGAGGAUGAUCAGUCACACUGGAACUGAGACACGGUCCAGACUACUACGGGAGGCAGCAGUGGGGAAUAUUGGACAAUGGGCGAAGCCUGAUCCAGCCAUGCCGCGUGUGUGAAGAAGGUCUUCGGAUUGUAAAGCACUUUAAGUUGGGAGGAAGGGCAGUAAGUUAAUACCUUGCUGUUUUGACGUUACCAACAGAAUAAGCACCGGCUAACUUCGUG